CACCUCUCCUGGGCCCUGAAUGGCUCUCAGUCAUCUUGUACUUUGGAAGGGAAGUGCUGGUUCACAGCUUUGUGCAAUGUCCCACAAAUUCAAGUUUGCUUCUCACCAUGAGUGGAUGGAAGCAAUGGAUUUUUGGCAGGAAUAGUGUGGGAAGUGUUCCUCCAAGGAUGUGGCCUUGAGGUUGUGGUACCUCAUGUCUUGUCAUAGGGAUGUGACACACAGCUUGCUUGUGGUGGUGUCUUUUUGGCUAGUGAACACUUUAGGGGAGUACAUGGAGACUCUUGAGGUCCUAGCUCUCUUUAAAAAUUUAACCUGCUUGCAUUAACAUCCACUGAUUUUGGCCUCAAACAAUUGUUACUGCGUGUUGUUUGGUUAAUAGUGAUAUUCUAUUUUUCUCUUUCCCUUUUUAAUGUUUUAUUUUGAACUAAUUUAAAACCUAUAUAAGAGUUGCAAAAACAGCCCUACAAGGGGCCUUGACAGGCAGAAUAGAGGCUGGGUAGACAGAUUUCUAGCCAAGGACUCAAACAAACCAGGCCAGAAGGAAUAUUUGGGCAGAGUCUGCAGCCAGACUGGCUUGACUGUGGGAGUGAAAUGCAUCCCUGAGUUGCUGGAACCGCGUCCCCCCCCCCCCCCCAAUGCUCAGUCCACCCAGGGAUCACAUGCAGCCUGGGAGCCCAGCCUGGGAAAGAUGAAGUGAAAAAAAAAAUCCAUAUUUAGUUGAGUCUUGGCUUUUGAAUUUCUAAGAAAGACCCACAUUCUGGCAUGUUAAGCAUCUUUCACCUAUAAUCCCAGCAUUCUGGGAGCCUGAGGCAAAGGAUCUAAUUUCAAGCCCAGCCUAGGCAAUUUAGUGACUUAGUUUGACCCUUUCUCAAAAAUUUUAAAAGGGGUGAGGAUGUAGCUCAGUAUGACGGUGAUGGGUUCAAUUUGUAUUAUAAAAAAAAAUUCAAGAUAAUGGUUUUUUGUUUGUUUUUUGAAACAGGGUCUUAUUAUAUAGUUCAGGCUGGCCUCGAACUCACAGUGAUCCUCCUGCCUCAGCCUCCUGAGUGCUGGGAUCACAGGUGUGCACCACCAUAUCUGGUUUGUCCAUCAAGUUGGGGCAGUCCUGGAGGGUUUUUCUGUAGAGAGCUCAGUGAAGGCAGAAGCCUGCAGUCGGGCUGGAGCAGUGCAAAGAGCCUUGGGGAGUCAAAGCCCUGGACAGGGCCUGGCCCACCUAAGUAGUGCUCUACUUUAGCCACAUAUGCUCCCUCCCAGGCUAUCAAGCCAACCUCUGUACCCCCGAUGCCACCAGUCAAGCCUUGGGCUGAAGUAAUCACACCCGGAAGGACUCAGGGACUUGAUGGUACAAAGGUUCCCCUGAAGCCUCCAGUCCAGAGAAGAUGAUCGGGCAGAGCACCACAGGUGCAUCUGUGAGCCCAGGGAAGUUUGGAGGAGUCCCAGCAGGAGAGAGUGCUCCUCAGCAUCCCAGGGUCACCACCAGAGCCUCUCAGCUCAGGACUCAGGGCUGGACUGAGCUGCUCCUCUGACCUCAGGACUGCAUCAGACAGAUGCUCUUGCUGUCCAGCUGGGCUAAGACCAAUCCCUUCUCACCUGUGUUGGCCAUGCUUAGCCUGCUUUGUCUGCAGUGGCGAGGUUGAGAUAGGAGGUCACCUGGAGUGUGUAUGAAGACUGCUGUCCAGACAGCUACUGCCCCCGUGUGCUCAGAAGGCCCGGAGCUUCCCUCCCAGCCACCACUGCACCUGCUCUCGGGCUUAGCAGCCCGAGACCCCUCCAAGGUCAGGACAGCUCUCGUGGUUUCCUGUAAGGAGGGUGUCAAUAAGUGGAUUGUAUCUGCAUUGACUCCAACUAAACCCACGAUUUAAGAAGGAAUGUCUACUUUUUAGGAAUCACUGUCAUUUGAGGGGCAGAGCAGAUGGCUAUCUGGUUUCGAAACCUCAGGGGAUGAAAUCCAUUAAUAAUAAAGCUUGUAUUAUAUCAUUAAAGUAUGGACC
ensembl:lncRNA